GUAGACUUUCUGGACCUGAAUGAAUGUGAAAUAUGAACAGAAUCUGAUGCAAAAGGGAAGAAAUGUUUUUUCAGUGAAUGUGAGGAUGUGACACGAGACUUAUUCACUUCCCAGAGAAUACUGUGGAUGUGGAAGCCAGAAGUGUGCCAGAAUGCCCCAGCAGUUUUAUUUCAUGCAAUCAUUCACAGACCACAUUGGCUUGCAAAAGUGGUGAGAAAAGGCUGUUUCCUGUAUGCCGCAUGCAUAGAAAUAUAGUUUAUAUUCAAUGAAACUCAGCUGAGACCCAUGGGUCAGAAGCCACAGAUUUUGGCACCAAAACUAAUGAAACAGCAAGCAAUGAUUAGCCAGCGGUAUUCAUGGCAAAUGACUAGAUCUGCUGAGGACUGGAGCUUGGGAGAUAAAAACCCUCACAGACUUCAAAAAAUCUGGCAGAAAUCUGAGAAGACAAGAGUGCUCACUUGACUUCUCAUAAAUUAGAUUCUUGGAAAUAACUCCCCUGGGGUAAAGAAGGCUGGAUGACUCAAAUACUCAGACAGGAACAGUUCUAAAGAGAAGAAAAAUCCACAUUUACCUGUAUGGGCAACACCACAAGAGCAACACAGAUCAUAAUGACAACAAGCAGCUUUGAAGGCCAUAUCUUGGGUGUAAC